rnacentral:rRNA from 1 species
GCGUAGGGUAUGUAGGCGGUGAAAGUCGGUGUAAAUUAAAUCCUGGGUAGCAACCCUUGUCUGUUUACUUCCAUAUUUCACUAGAAUCAGAGAGAGGACUUGGUAUAAAAAUGGAGAGGUUAAAUGUGUGAUAUAAUUAGGACCGACAUUGGUGAAAGCAAAAUCCUGGUCCUGUAUUGAGCUAAGGUACGAAGGCAGGGCAGCAAAACGGAUUAGAUACCCGUGUAGUCCGUGCUGUAACGCUGAGAUUUCAAUGUUAGAGAAGAGAUAUGUAAUCUAUUUGGUAUUUUUUUAAAUAAAAAUACUUAUUCAUUUUUUGAAUAUAUAGCAUAAAAAAUAAAUAUUUUUUAUUUUUUAGUAGAGAUAAAUUCUCUAACAUAUCAGUUUUCUUUGGUGUUUGAGUAACGCGUUAAAUUCUCCGCUGGGAAGUACGGCCGCAGGUUGAAACUCAAAAGAAUUGAGGUGACUUGUACGAGG